rnacentral:lncRNA from 1 species
CUGCUACGGCCGAGACCCUCCCAUUUACCUGCCUUGCUCAGGAGCUCAAGACAGACUGGGUCAUUAACUUUGCACAGAAGAAAAGACUUCUUGUGAGAUUAUAGUGGGAUGCAGAGCAGAUGAAGACUACAAUGGACCAUAAAUAGUUACAACCAGUGUUGGUUUCUCCAAUGGUGAACAAAAGCUGGAUAAAACUUCCAUGAACUAAGCAAGUAAAUAAAUAGCAUCACAUUAGCAGAUACAGUAUCAGUUCUGUGAUUCAACGCCUAGAGUUUGCAAAACAGUUCAUUAAAAGGAGACCACAUCACAGCCACUUCCAAAUCUGUUCACCGGCCUCCGCCUAUCGCAGUGCAGAGAGAAAGCAAAAAAGGAGUACAAAACUGAAGUUCCAAACAUUCCAGCACCCUACAAUAUCUAAACAGAAACUACAGGUUUUAAGCUUCAGGGGAGAAGGUGUCCAUAGCCCCAGAUCACUCCAUGCACUCAAUCAAAUGAGCGAGACAUCUUGGCUUGCUGACAGAGACAAAGUGGAUGCAACUAGAAAAAACUAGUUUGUACAACUAGCAGUUUUCUCUAGAGAUGAUGAGCUUGCAGCUGAACAUGCAGAUAGCACCUGAAAAAAAGGAGCAUCGUCCAUUUUCAGAUGCACAUGCAAGACGAAAGGCCAACAAAAAUGAUCUGGUUGGAUACAAAUAAAUUUUAUGCUCAAGAGAAUUUCAACUGUACUGGUUAAGAUUUGUGUACCAGAAACAUGGGUCUUACUCCUAAAAUUAUUAGCGAGUCUUGAUUACCAAAAAAAAUGUCCUUACUGCCAUUGGUUCUCUUCAUCCAGCAAAGCUGGUAUGCUACAGAAGUUUUUGAAAGAAUCAUCUAAACAAAUCAAAUGUAUAACUAUGAUUAGAGUUCACACAUACCACGGAUUUAAUUUAGGUACAUGGGAUGGGACAUAUACUUGAGAACUAUUGCUCAAAUAUCUUUGGCCUCAGACUGAGUCAUGACAGGUUUCUACUUUGAUUUCUGUUACUGGCAUAGGAAACACACAAGAAUCAAUAUGGGAAGGCUCCCAUAUACUAGAUAUAACAUCUAUUCCACCUUAAUCAGGAAGAGCAUGGAUAUUCUAAACCUUUUCUUUCACUGCCCCUACAGAGUAAAAUCAAUGACUCACGAUGUGAAUAAAGAAGUACCUCUGGUCUACAGAGUAACAUCUAUUUUUUGCAGGAAGUAAUAAUAUGCUAUAACCAUUAAAGAAACACAACAAUAUACUAUCACAGCAGAAAGAACAAAAAUUCUUUGGAUUAUGAACUUCUAGUGAGACAACAAAUCUACAUGUAGACCAGAAGGUAAUGGAGUGUAUCUAUACAGGAUUGACAGUGCUACAAGAACAGGGGGUGGUUAACCCAGAAAACAGGGGCACACGAGGUGGGGGUGAAUACAGCAAAUGUGUGAGCAGGAUCCUUCACUAUUCACUCUGCUGACUUGCAGCUUGUGAUUGCAGAAUCAUGCGGUGAAACACAUGCGAGGUCAAGAACUGGAAUGUUAGCUGUUUGUCUUUGCGUGAUGCCAGGCUGAGACUGCUCACAGCCCUGCUGUGCUGUGGCCGUCUGGCCAAGACCCUGGACGUCAAACCCACAUCACCCCAUGGUUGCAACCAUCUUCCAACCCUGACUUUUCGUGCCUGACCCGAGCUUUCGGAGGCAAACAUUUGAUGACUAACACUGUCAGCAAGCUCCUCCCUGGCUUUCUCAGCACAUUCUCUUGUAGUGUAGGUCAAAAAACAAUGGAGGCCCGAUCCGUCAAAUACUACUCAGUUAUUCAAGCAUCAAGGCAACCAAUCAGUCACCUGCCUUGCUCAGGAGCUUAAGAGAAACUGGGUGAUUAACUCUGCAGACAAAAAAAAAUGCUUCUUGUGAGAUUAUAGUCAAGUGCAGAGCAGAUGAAGACCACCAAAUGGACCAGAAAUAGUUGCAUCUAGUGUUGGUUUCUCCAUUGGAAAAAAAAGCUUGCUAAAACUUAAUCGAACAAAACACACAAAUAAAUAUCAUCAGAUUAGCAGAUACAAUGUCAAUUAAGUGAUUUAACGCCUAGAGUUUGUAAACCAGUUAGACUAACAAUGUGAAAGUAUCUAUUGUUUCUUUAACUAAUGAUUUGGCUCGCCCAGUCGUAUCACUCGGAAAGGCUACAAAAAUAAACCAAAGACCAAACCAGAAAUCUUGAAAAAAAAAAUACUCACACUUGAAGAUCCACACAGGUUCGCAUGUGGUAUCAAAUUCACCAAGUGUCGAACAGCGUGAGAAAUAUCAAAAUCAAACAAAUUCUCCAAAACAUGUAAAAUAAAAAGAGUUCUCCAAACAAUAAGCGAGAAAAUAAAUGAAUUGAACUCCUCAGAUGUCCCUUCUGUUCCACAAAAUGUGCAGCAUCCAUGGACGUGCUUUCAGGAAUUGGAACGAUAUACAAGGCAAAAUAAGUCAUCACUGGAGUAUGCCACAGCUUAAGGAAGCAGACACGUUGCACCAUGUCAAACCAGAAAUCUUAAAAGGAACCAUUUGAAGUUAUACACAUGUUCUCCUAUGACAUCAAAUUCAACCAACCAUCGGCAGUGUGAUAGUUUGGAAAUCGAACAACUCAAUGAACAGUGAAACAAAAAGAGUUGGCCAAACAUUAAGAGAGAAAAGAAACAAAUUGAACUCCUCAGAUGUCCCUUCUGCUCCACAAAAUGUGCAGCAUCCCAUGGAUGUGCUUUCAGGAAUUGGAACGAUAUACAACGCGAGAUAAGUCAUCACUGGAGUAUCCCACACCUAAGGAAGCAGAUUUGGUACAUUGCUCCAUUUCAAACCAUAAAUCAAGGAACCAUUUGAAGUUAUAUACAUGUUCACUUAUAGCAUCAAAUUCAACAAUUAUGAAAACAUGAAAAUAUUUCGGAAACCGAACAAACUCGAUGAAGAACACGGAAAUAAAAAGAGUUGUUCAAACAUUUAGCAAGAGAAAAACAAACUAAACUCCUCAGAUGUCCCUUCUGCUCCACAAAAUGUGCAGCAUCCCGUGGAUGUGCUUUCAGGAAUUGGAACGAUAUACAAGGCGAAACAAGUCAUCACUGGAGUGUUUGACACCUUGACCAAGCAGAGUCGAUAUAUUGCAUCAUUUGAAAGCAGAAAUCUUGAAAAAAGAACCGUUUGAAGUUAUACAUGUUUACUUACGGUAUGAAAGCCAGCAAAAACAAAUAGCAUCACAUUAGCAGAUACAAUGUCAGUUCUGUGAUUCAACACCUAGAGUUUGUAAACCAGUCAGACUAACAAUCUCAAAAUAUAUAUUGUUUCUGUAACUCAAAAUUUGGUUUGCCAAGUCGUAUUGCUCGUGAAUGUUUUGAUGUUCCACACAAAGUUGCAACAACACCCAAAAGGAAACGGAAGGCCAAACCAGAAAUCUCGACAAAAAAUACUCAUAUGUGAUGCUCCACACAUGUUUGCAUGUGGUGUCAGUUUCAACCAAGUGCCAAACAGCAUGAAAAAAUUAAUGAAAACAAAUUAUCCAACAACACUAAAAAUAGAAAGAUUUGUCCAAACAUUAAACAAUAGAAGAAGCAAAUUGAACUCCUCAGGUGUCCCUUCUGCUCCACAUAAUGUGCAGCAUCCGGUGGAUGUGCUUUCAGGAAUUGGAACGAUAUAUGAGGUGAAGUAAGUCAUCACUGGAGUAUCCCCACACAUAAAGGAAGCAGAUUUGAUACAUUGCACCAUUUUAUACCAGAAACUUAAAAGGAGUCAUUUGAAGUUAUACACAUGGUCACUUAUGGUAUCAAAUUCAACCAACGCUCAGCAGAAUGAAAAUAGUUUGGCAAUCAAACAACUCAAUGAAGAACACCGAAAUAAAAAAAAGUUCUUUGAGCAUUUAACUCCUCAGAUGUCCCUUCUGCUCCACAUAAUGUGCAACAUCUCGUGGAUGCGCUUUCAGGAAUUGGAACGAUAUAUGAGGCGAAACAAGUCAUCACAGGAGCAUCCUACGCCUUAAGGAAGCAAAUUUGUUACAACCUCCGUCCGUGGAUACACUCAUUCAGCGACAGUUAAUUCCGGACGGAGGGAGUUACAUUGCAACAUUUGAAACCAGAAAUCUAGAAAAAGAAUCAUUUCAAGUUGUAGACAUCUUCACUUAUGGUAUAGGAGUAUCAUAUAAGACCAACCGUCAGCAGCAUGAAAAUAGUAUGACAACCGGACAACUCAACAAAGAACACUGAAAUAAGAAGAGUUGUCAGACACAUUGAGCGGGAACAAAAAUGAAUUAAACUCCUGAGAUGUCCCUUCUGCUCCACAUAAUGUGCAGCAUCCCAUGGAUGUGCUUUCAGGGAUUGGAACGAUAUACCACGUGAAACAAGGCAUCACUGGUGUAUCCCACACAACAAGGAAGCAAAUUCAAGACACUGCACUAUUUCGACUCUAGCUAAGAACAUUGACAAAAGUUGAAGAAUCAAUAAUAAAAGGUCGGAAAAAUCAAACAAAGAUCUCAGAGAACGCCACUGAAGUAAGAAGAGCGCACCGACCAUUGACCAACAAAACAAAACAAAGGAACUGGACUCCUCAGAUGUCUCUCGAGCUCCACACGGCGUGCAGCAUCCCAUUCCCAUGGGAACGGGAUGCGGCGCACUUUCAGGAGUUGGAACAGACUUAGGACGAAAUCGGUCAUCACUGGAGUAUAUAUAUAUCAGCUUAACUAGGAAGCAGAUUCGGUGCAGCGCGCUAUGCAUCUCGCUGUUGCGACUAACAUUGGGGAUCUAGAUGUUAGACGAGGGUUACUAGAGCUUAUGCGAGUGAAGCGGGAGCUACGGUGCGGUACCUGCUUCCGUCCGGGGCGUAGAGGUUCUGCCGCCCGGGGCGCAGAAGCUGGGGGACGGCCCUGCGCGUCGCCGUCGCGCCGUGUCGCCGCCCCGCCCCGCCCGCCGCCGGCACGGACGGGAGCCGCGGCUUCCGAGACGGAGCGGCCCAGCAAAGCUGUCGGGUUAAGUAGGCCGGUCCCGGCGUGGCGG